AGAGUCCAGAAACCCUCUGCCCAGAGCUCUUCCCUCCUCUCCUUCUGUCUCGCCAGUUCUGGCGUGUUCCAGAUUGGGUAAGCAAUCGUUUGUGGAAAAACCAAGGAAAAUCAAGCCAACCGAAGCCUAACCCACCAGCUAAGGGAAAGUGCUAGUGAAUAAAUCCCUGAUUCGUGAGUUCAUAGUUGAGGAGAUAUCACCCCACAAUUAAGACUCUUCUCCGUUGCAGGAAAAAUCUUAGAAGGUAGUCUGUCGUGUUCUUUGGGUGAAGAUUAUGUUCCUUGGAUGAAGUUUUCUUUUAUUACGGCGAGGACGCGUUCACUUUUGCUAUAGACAAGUAAAUUAUGUUAAUAUGUAAAUUAAUUUUGGUUUUGCAUAACUCUGUAAUAUGUAAUAAGGGCACUAGAAAACUAAUAAAACUUUUGAACUGUGUUGUUUUGUUUAAGAUGCUAAUGUGACCACUAAUCGUCCACCUAAGGGAAGAUUAGUGAGUCAGUAAUGGUGCACUAAUCAGCUGGCUUAGCUUCCGCUUAGAACCUAAUUGUGCCGUAAAUAGCAGUUGAUUAUGUAGACUGUUACAUCAUGUUUUAUGCUACGGCAGAUAGGAGUAGUCCUGUGUGCCUUUGAAAAAUAAUGAUCUGUUUUAAGGAAAACAAUUUGCUUGGGGGAUUUGCCCUCGUCUUAGAAUAGUAGCGGCAUGUUAUAUGCCGCAGCAGGUUGGAAUAAUCAACGAC